ensembl:lncRNA
CAGUGCAGGUGGCUGCGGCAUAUUAUGGGCUGGCAGGGCCCCUGCAAACUAGGCUGGCAGUGGGGCUCCCCUCUGCUCUUGUGCUGCCGUGCCUCUCUCCUGGCGGCUACAGGGGGAGCCAUGACAUCGAGCUAUGCUGUGUGCUCAGCGCCUGCUGCUGCUGCUGUGCUCUGCGGGGACCCACAGCCGCUCAGGGGUCCCCACGUCCUGCCCUGCUGGGUCCCUGCUCGACGUCCCUCACCUCCGUCCUUUGCCCGGAGCCAGAGAAACAAAAGAGGAAUGGAACCACAGGAGGUGCGCGAGCCUCAAAUCUGUCACGAGUGGUGCACAUACUGCAGGGCUCGCCAGAAAGCCAAGCAGAUGCACAGCACGAGAUGAAGCCUUGAAAACUGCCCAGCGGAGGAAGAUUUAUUCUUGCUUUUUGCCACUAUCUGGAGCACACGUUUGGGGAUGGAGGACAGUGCAGUGACUGCUGAUCCAAGCAGUGUUCCAGCGCCUUCAGGAGGUGGCAAGAGAAGACACAGGAGGCUGGGGACACAAGGGGUUGGAGUCACAAGAGAGCCUCUCAGGGCAGAUGGAAGGAGAACGCCUCCGCUGUGGUCAGUCCCUGAAGACAAAGUGGAUGCUGCUGGCACACUGGAAUGACGGCACGGGUUUGCUGACGGUUUUGCAUGGGAGCAUCGGUUGGGUUUACACCUACAAGUGCUUGGCUAUGGCAGCGGGGCAUCCCAUGGAAAGGCCAAAAAGCAGCAGAGAGAUCCAGGGAAGGAGGAGAUGGCACACGCUGCAAGCCUGUUCUCUGCCAGCGACGCUGCUGGGAGCACGGACACCCAUAGUGGAGCCAGCAGCUGGGGACAGCUCACAGGAGAGGAAAAAAAUGGAGCCAAGGAUGGCACUGUCUCUUUAAAAAUAAAUAAAUAGAUAAAGACUAAAAAAAAAAAAAGAAAGAAAAAAUGCAAUAAGUAUAUGCAAAUGUGUUGAGCCGAACAUCGCUGUCUGUGAAACAGAUGAGGG